UAAAAGAGAUUGCAAUGUUUAGACUAGGUCAUUCAGUGAACCUUAGACCGAAACCCUAAGAGAGGGAAAUCUGGUCAAAUGCAUAGGAUGAAAUUGAUGGUUUAUUCAAAAAUUGACUAGAUUACCUUAAGAAGGGUAAAAUGGUCAAAUGCAUUGAAUGAAAUUUGAUUAUUUAUUCAAAAUCGAAUGGAUAACCCUAAAAAAUGAAUUAAAUGAAUCAAAUGAACUAAAUGAAAUCAAUUGAUCAAACGCAUUGAGUGAAAUGAUGAUUUAUUCAAAAUCGACCGUAUGACCCUAAAAAGGGUAAAUUGGUCAAAUGAAUUGAAUGAAAUUGAUGAAUUGACCGAACGACCCUAAAAAGGGUAAAUUGGUCAGAUGAAUUGAAUGAAAUUGAUUUAUUCAAAAAUUGACCGAAUGACCCUAGAAAGGGUAAAUUGGUCAGAUAAAUUGAAUGAAAUUGAUUUAUUCAAAAAUUGACCGAAUAACCCUAGAAAGGGUAAAUUGGUCAGAUGAAUUGAAUGAAAUUGAUUUAUUCAAAAAUUGAUCGAAUCACCCUAAAAGGGUAAAUUGGACAAUGAAAUUGAUUUAUUCAAAAUUGACGAUUGCCCUAAAAGGGUAAUUGCCAAAUGAAUGAAUGAAUUGAUUUAUUCAAAAAUUGACGAAUCACCCUAAAAGGGUAAUUGGUCAAAUGACUAAAUGAAUUGAUUUAUUCAAAAUUGGUUCGAUGCCCUAAAUGGGUAAUUGCAAAUGAAUGAAAUGAGAUUGAUUUAUGCAAAAAUCGACCAUCACCCUAAAAGGGUAAAUUGGUCAAUGAAUUGAUGACUUAUCCAAAGAUCGGCUGAUGACCCUAAAAAGGGUAAAUUGGUCAAAUGAAUGAAUGAUUUUUCAAAAAUCGACCUGAUGACCCUAAAAAGGGUAAAUUGGUCAAAUGUGUGACGGCCCCACCUCCCCCUAAGGCGAACCAGAGGGUUCGGCGGGCCGCCUGCCCAGCUCUCGCCGGGACUCAGUCGUUCACUACAAUCCUCAAAUAUAUUACAAUAUAACUCUCAAAAUUACAUCAAAUUCUCCAAUAAUUACAUAUCACAAAUGCAGCGGAAACUAAUUCCAAUCGUGGGAUGUAUACUUACAUCCGCUUCAAUUCCAAAUAUUGAUACAAGCCCAACUCGUACAUAAAAUAAAUCCAAAUCUAAACUGUACAAGAGAUAACUCAUCCGGUCACAUGAACAAGUACUACAAGCCUUUCCUUCGCCACGAGCCCUGUGGAGGGGAAUAAAACAUUUUGAGGGUGAGCUAAAAGCUCAGCGAGUAACCAUUAAAAUCAGUAAUCAAUUCAGUUUCACAGUCGUUCAUUUCAGUGAUGUCAUGAUUUCAAGAUCAAAGGUACAUUUAUUGCUCUCGUGAGCCAGCGAAAUCGUUGUACUUAAACACCCAACGCUCCAAACAAAAUUAAACAGUAAACAGUCAGUGGGGGAGCCAUUUGCUCCAGAUGAACAGUACACAGAGGUGGAGACGUUGGUGUUCAGCGCACGAAUUCCAAGCACUCAUUUAAGCCAAAACAUGUCAUGGGCCACAUGCAAGCACUCAUGAUAUGCAAUCAAGUAAAUAGUGCAAUAAACGGUUCAUAAGUAAUUUUGGAAACAGUUUAGGGUCACUCACACUCUUUUUUUUUCGGGGCGUCACAAUCUCCCCUCCUUAAAAGAAUGUCGUCCUCGACAUUCCAUCUUGUACUAAUCAAGUCAAGUCAUCCCGCAAGAAUCACUAAUAUUUCAAACCAAGCCCACAGUCCGGCAUCCUAGACUUCAAGCCUAGGAUACACUACAGAGAUCUGAAGCCUAAGCUCUGAUACCAACUGUGACGGCCCCACCUCCCCCUAAGGCGAACCAGAGGGUUCGGCGGGCCGCCUGCCCAGCUCUCGCCGGGACUCAGUCGUUCACUACAAUUCUCAAAUAUAUUACAAUAUAACUCUCAAAAUUACAUCAAAUUCUCCAAUAAUUACAUAUCACAAAUGCAGCGGAAACUAAUUCCAAUCGUGGGAUGUAUACUUACAUCCGCUUCAAUUCCAAAUAUUGAUACAAGCCCAACUCGUACAUAAAAUAAAUCCAAAUCUAAACUGUACAAGAGAUAACUCAUCCGGUCACAUGAACAAGUACUACAAGCCUUUCCUUCGCCACGAGCCCUGUGGAGGGGAAUAAAACAUUUUGAGGGUGAGCUAAAAGCUCAGCGAGUAACCAUUAAAAUCAGUAAUCAAUUCAGUUUCACAGUCGUUCAUUUCAGUGAUGUCAUGAUUUCAAGAUCAAAGGUACAUUUAUUGCUCUCGUGAGCCAGCGAAAUCGUUGUACUUAAACACCCAACGCUCCAAACAAAAUUAAACAGUAAACAGUCAGUGGGGGAGCCAUUUGCUCCAGAUGAACAGUACACAGAGGUGGAGACGUUGGUGUUCAGCGCACGAAUUCCAAGCACUCAUUUAAGCCAAACAUGUCAUGGGCCACAUGCAAGCACUCAUGAUAUGCAAUCAAGUAAAUAGUGCAAUAAACGGUUCAUAAGUAAUUUUGGAAACAGUUUAGGGUCACUCACACUCUUUUUUUUUCGGGGCGUCACAAAAUGACCCUAAAAAGGUAAAUUGGUCAAAUGAAUUGACAAUUUAUUCAAAGUUGAUUAUGAAUUGACAAAAUGGAUCGACUGAAUCGGCCGGCCAUUGGUGGUUUCAGAAAAUUAGUCUAUGAGCCUUCUAAAAUCACGAUUUGGCCUCAAUUUAUUUAUCGUCUCAAUAGGAGGAAUCAUUUGUGAAUUUUUUCAAAUUAAUGUCCUUCACGCAAGGGAUUUUUACCAAUUUUUGAUAAAAUGGCCAAAAAGCGAUUAUUAGAUGCUCAUAUUCCAAAGAUCACUCUACGAAAAUGAUCGGAUCCUACCUUACCUUGUGCACUACCCCUUUGGAUGGUACAAGAAAGGUAAACGUGCAGGUCUCAUUGGAUUAUAUAUCCGAGACAUGGGGUGGUUUAUUUCUAAAAUGGGAUUCCCUAUGUGGCAUUCCCUUCUAAGGUAGAUGCAUGAUGCCAUUUUAUUAAAGCAAUGUAAAUAUGUGACAAAUGUGGCCUAAAGGACAUGAAUAAUGCAUCGGGGGGAAAAGGUCUAAAAAUGAAAUGUAUUUAUUGAAAAUCAAGUGUAAUAACUGAAAUUUAAACAUAUGAGUCAUCUAGUGGGUAAGUCACUAAAAGAGUGCCAAAAGGCCUCUUAUUGCUAAGGCCCAUGAAUGCAAUCCAAGAAAACAAAAGAAUGGUUAGUGCAAUUGAUAGUUCACAUAACACAUUGGGAGCAAUUAAGAAAUACAAAUAAAAACAAGUAAAAGGGGUGGAACCCCUUCCCUCGUGCCUAAGGUGCUUAAAAGAGGGUGAGGCUGACUCUAACCUAGGAAAAUGCUAACAUGGAUGCAUGAGGCUGGGGCUCACUAAUGCAACUAGACUCGAUAAGGCUUCGGCUCCCAAGCCUUCAGACCUAAAGGCAAAGGGUCAUCACUCCCAAGGCCUUCGAUCGGUGGCUCGAGUGAUCCCUUAGGUAGCGCUAUGGGCGCAGCGCACACCAGCCGCCUACCCAAGGCAAUCAAUCCUAAUCCUACAAGGCGGUGUGGGAUAGCGCCCACGAAAAAUAAAAUAAAAAGGGAUAACAAUAAGUAAACGUGCACGUAUGAAGUGUUCCCUAUUUUGAGGGAAGGGGUCGAGAACCAAUCGCAAGGCUCUAAGGGUGACACACACCCCCCCCAAAUGCAAUGCAAGCGCGAGAUAAACAUACAUCCAAUCAACCAAUCAUACAUUCAUGAACGAGGGAGUAGUUGGAUAUGCGUGAAAAUGUAAAAAAUCCUAAUAAAAGGAAAAAUGCAAUCCUAAACACCCAAAUGUGAUAUAUGAAAAGAUUAAAAGAAGAAAAAGAUUGAUUAAAUCAAAUUUGCUCGGACUCUCGAAUAUCCCCAGUGGAGUCGCCAACUGUCGCGCCCCAUUUUUUGAUAAAAUAAAAUUUAAUUUAAAAAAUGUAUUGGUGAUUUAAAAGAAAAAUGGGUCUAAAUGGGACUUUUGAAAAUGCAACGAUUUGACCCAAGAAAAAUAGUUCAAAAAGGGUUUUUUAUAUGAAAAAUGGAGUCGCCACUUGGUAUAGAGUUAGGGUGUACCAAGUCACCCAAAAAAAAGUGAAUUUUUUUAAGGAAAAAAAAGUAAGAAAAACCCUUUUGAACGACUCCUAGUCCACGCAAACAAAGAAAAAGGUUCGGGAGUCACAUUUGACGAAGGGGAAGGCAAGGAUAAAAUCCAAGGCACCCCUUCGACCUAGCCAAGGCUAGUUGCGUUGAUUUAAUCAAAGAUUUUCUUGUUUUAACCAAAGAAUUUAUUACAUUUGGAUGCACUACAUGAAUGCAAACCCUAGACCUAGGGGUAUUGGGGGAAAUUUCCCUUCAAAGGUUGAAUGGUGCCAAUCACAUUAAUUGUGAAGCCCAAUAACGAUCCUUUUGAAGAGGCCACGAAUAAUGCGAGUGGGAUGCAAAUGAAUGGAAUGCAUAUAUGCAAUGUGAGGACAUGAGUUUGAAAAAGUAAUAAAAGACAAUAAUAUGUAAGUGAAAAUGUGCACGUGAGUGGGCAAGGUGCGGUAUGUGAAAUGAUAAUAUGAAGUGCAUGUGUGCAAGUGAUGAUAAAAGUGUUCGUGUGCAAGUGAAGGGAUAAAAGGUGUACGUGUGCAAAUGAAGGGAUAAAAGGUGUACGUGUGCAAAUGGAGGGAUAAAAGGUGUACGUGUGCAAAUGGGAGGAAAAAAUGAAAGUGUAAUGAUAGAGUGGAUGCAUGAACCUAGGGAAUUCAUGCAUAAUGGGUACGGGGAGACCUAAAUCGUGACUCAAUUUGCCCUUUGAUAGAGAGGAUACAAGCGUGCUAAGGCUUAGAAAAAGCCACACUCGUCUAUAUCCCAUAUUUAAGGGGACUCUCAAGCAAAUGAACCCUAUAACUAGCAUGAAAUGCAAAAAAAUCCUAAAAUGGAGGAAAGGGGUUCGGGGAUCAUGCCAAAUGAUAAAACUAAGGAAAAUGCGUGAUAUGUGGUGAACAAGCAAAUGAUGUAUUAACGAGGGAAAAACCCUAAGGAUCUAGCGUUGGACUAGCCCAUUCUAUGAAUUCCGACUAGCGUUGGACUAGUGGAAACGAUAAAAGAAAGCCACAACUAGCGUUGGACUAGUGUGGUGACGUACAUUCAUCCAUUCCAUUCAUCCACACUAUGGAAAGCAAGUAGAUAUACCAAAUACUCAUAAACAUGUAGCACGUAACAUUUAGCAGGCUCGACUAGAUGCAAGGCCCUAAUAAAGCAAGUAACAAGUAACACAUAGACAUGCAACCAAGCUAAUGAACUUACUACAUUCACUAACUAAAACAAAAGGGAAAGGGAAAAUGGACCAAAUUGCUCGCCACAGCCCUAUCUAUUACAAGCCAAGAGGUGUACACAUACCCCAUUUAAAAGAAUAAUUUAAUAAAAGCAAGAAGGAAUGAAAUAAUGGAACUAAAGAAUGGUAAUGAAAGCAAAUUAGGCAUGCAAUUCACACUUAGCACAUUGGAUCACAUAGGAGAGACAAAAGGGAUAAAAGAAAUUAUACCUCCUCCUUGAAAUGAAGCUCUAAUGGAGUGAAAUCAACUUAUUUACCCUCCAAAAUAAUAAAGGAGUCAAGGUACCAAUUUAUUUGGCAAAUAAUCACAAAGGAUAAAAAAUAAACAUGAAUUUGAACCAAUUAAAUCAUGUCAACGACCCACAUUUAAGAAGUCAAAAGAAAAAAGGACUUGAUUGCAGAAAUUAAUAAAGUCUUGGGGUCAAAAUUAAAGAAAAAUAAAGUUAAGGGACCUAAUUGCAAUUAAAUUAAGGACCGAAUUGAAAGAAGUUGAAAAUGUCCAGGGCCGCAGUGGAGUUAAAGGAAAAUACAGGGACUGCUUUGCAAAACAGCUUUCUGGUUUCUUAAUGGAUCAGGCAACUUGGGCCAUUUCUUAUUGGUUUGGGCCUAAGACCCUCCUAGCCCAGUCGAAACUUAAAGCAAAAGGAAUGAGCCAGUCCACUAUUUUGGCCCAAAAUUAGCCAACCAAACAGAUGGGCCUUGAUCUUCUGGCCCAAGCCAAAAACCCAAACAAAAAUAAACUAAACCACUUUCUUAGACCCAAACACAACAUAAUUAUCCAAAAACUCAAAACCACAAAACAAAAGCCAACAUGAUUAGCAAAACAACUAAAAUUAUCAAGUCAUCAUAUGCAUAAAAAACAAGAAUUAAUCUAGCUAAAAGACUUCUUAUGCAAAUUAAGAGUUAAUUUAAAUCUAAGGAAAGAACAAGUUCAAUUUUCCAAUUUUGGGCCUCAAUGAAAUUACACAGAAAUUGAGGGGUUGAAUUGCAAUUUUGGUGGAAAAGCCCACGCAGACUUACGAAGAACAGCUUCUUCCUCAUUUAGACAAAAGCUUCUGCAAUCCAGCAACUUACAAACCCAACUCACAAACAUAAUCAAAUCUAACUUGAACUUGAGCGUGAACAAACAAAAUUACUACCUAAACCUUUACUUUGCAAUAUGAAACCCAAAUUACAUAUCAUUUUUUACAUAACUUUCUGCAAACUUUUCUUUGCUCCCUGCGGAGCUUAUCAAAUUACAUGUUCAAGCCGCCAGCUAGCUCGAGUCAAACAACAAAAUUUCUUACGUAUCCUUCUAGCAUGAACUGACCAGCAACAAACAUAUCAAAAGAGUGAAGUAAACUACCCCAUAUCAGCCCCCCAAGACAAGAAUGUGCGAAACAGGGGAGGCCACAAACAGUGGGAAAAAAAAACUGCCUGCAUUUUUUAAUGCCUUGAGAAUUCUCGCAAAUUUUUUAGCUAUGUUAUCACUCUGAUUCGUUGCACAAUCAAUACAAGAACAUCCAUACAGCCAUGGCAUACCAUUUAAAAAGAAAUUAACCUUCUAGCCAGAACAUCAACUAUUUCAAAUUCGGUAAACAAAAUUUCCAGGACAAGAACAUGUAAAUCAGAAUCGAAACUUUCUUCUUCUGAUCUAAAACUUUCGUUUGAGCAUUUCACCAAACAACUAAUGGGCAUAGCAAAAUCACAGAUUCUCGGCUCAAUUGACGCUAUAACCAGCCUCCAGAUUGUCAUAAAGCCCGGGAAAUUCAGUCCAAUCAACCCACAAAUUCAAGAAAAUCAUGAACAGAUAACAGAAAAUUCGCAACAAAACAUAGUCACAGCAGCUUGUUUCCAGAGCUUGUUCAACACUGAAAUUUUGAAGAAAUAAUGGACAACUUACAGUGCUCUUUGCUUGAGCAACGGAGGUUCCGGCUAGAUGGUCUCGGGGUGGCAGCAAAGAGGACGGCGGUGGAUUGCGGUGGAUUCCGGCGGUGGAUUGCGGUGGAUUCCAGUUGCUCUGCUUUCCAGAUUUGUCCUUCCAUUUGCCGAAUCUUUUCCCUCUGUUUCCGUUCGCAGCUGCGUCCCUUUUCUCUCCCUGCCGAAGCUCUUUCACUCUCCCCAGUCAGACGAAGCUCCCUUCCUUCUUUCUAGCCGCCACUCUAUUUUCUAGAUUUCCUCUGUUUUCAAUUCCUCCGUAGGUCUUUUUUCCUUUUUCUUCAUCCGCUGGGCCUUUUCUUUUCCCUUAUAGUUUUUCCAUUUCUUUCUGGCCGAUUGACCUUAGCCGCCAUCAGCCUCUGUUGCCCUUUCUUUUCCUGCAGCCGCAACUCCUUCGUUUUUCCUUGUUGCCGUCCAUUUUCUCUCCAUGAGCCUCCCCUGUUUUUUCUCUCCGCCGCCUUCUUUUUUCUCUGUUUUCCCUUCCCCUUUUUUUGUCCUGUUUUCAUUUCUGAUUUUUUUUAUCCCACGAAGCCCUCUCGGCCUUUUCUCUAGAUUUUCCAUUUUUCCCAUUUUCCUCCGAUGAUGUUCCCCUUUGCUUUCUGCUAUUGUUUUUCUUCGUUCCUGCCUGCUGAAGCCCCUUUCCCCAAUUUCUCUCGGCCCCUUUUCUGUUUUUCCAUUCCUCCCCCUCAAGCUCGCCGUAGCUUUUUCCUUUUUUUUUUUUUUGAUCUCUCUCUGUCGAAAACCUCAGCCGCCGAGCCUUCUUUUUUUUUUUUCAUUCUCCAAACCUCCCUUCUAAGCUAAACAAGUGUCCUCCUAAAUGUUGUGUUGUCAAUUAAACAAAAAGGACACUUGUCCCAUUUAUGUUUUGUACACUUGUUCCACAUGCACACUUCCACCUAUUUUUUUGCCAUUUUCAUUCUUUUUCUUUCAUUUUUCAUUUUUCAUCAUUUUUCCUUUUUCUCUCUUUUUUCUUUUUUUUUUUCAUUUCAAGAAAUUCUAUGCUAAAAACUUAAAAAUAAAAAUAAAACUAUAAACUAAAAACUAAAAAUCGAAUAAAACUAACACGACAAAUAAACAAACUAAAAAUAAACAGUAAAUGAAAUUACACCAAAAAUUUGGUGUCUACAGUUUGCCCCUCUUUGUCUGAGUUUUGAAAAAACUUGAGACAAAGAAGUAGACACCAAAUACCUACCUGCAUCAUUCGGCUGCAAAAUGAUUCCAACGAACAAGAAUUCUAAAAUGGGACUGACCCAAACAUAAAAUUAAAACGGGACUGACCCGAACAGGAAAUUUUAAAACGGGACUGACCCGAUCAGAAAUUUAAACGGGACUGACCCGAACAGAAUUUAAACGGGACUGACCCGAACAGGAAUUUAAACGGGACUGGCCCGAACAGAAUUUAAACGGGACUGACCCGAACAAGAAUUUAAACGGGACUGACCCGAAAAUGUUUUGACAAUCGGUCAGUGGGAUUAAGCCCAAACCUGCCGUGAUGAAACUUGAUUUGAUUUUGAUUUUGAUUCUUUUCUUUUCUUUUUUUUCUGAUUUUUUUUUUUUGGUUCUUUGAUUUUUUGAUUUUUGGUUUUUUGAUUUUUUUGAUUUUUGAUUUUUUGAUUUUUGAUUUUUUUGAUUUUUGGUUUUUUGAUUUUUUCUGAUUUUUCGAGAGAAUCUUUUUCAAAAUAUUUGCCCUCAGUGUAGGGCCCUUUUCCCUUUUUUCUUUUCUUUCUUCGGCGUCGGCUUUCCACAUCACCAGAUGCUCCUUCGUCGAUUUCAAUUAUGAAUACCUGCACAGGGGCUUACCAAAAUAUGACAUGCACUUGAAAUUUCAUGAAAAGAAACAGCGUGAUUGAUUUGAAAAAUGCAUUAUUUGAUUCUUGGACGAAAUCCUCAAUUGGACUAACAAAAAUAUUUGCCCCUGUGUGGGCUUGUUUUCACGAAAUCUCAUAACAAAAAUUUGCCCCAGUAUGGGCCAUUUAAUUGCAAAAACUUGUCUGGAUGACUUUCCAUUUAUUUGAACACUGUAAGAAACUAUGUUUCCAAAAAGAAAAACUUCAUGAUGAAUUUCUUGAAAUAAAACCAAAUCACAGAGGAUUUCUUCCUCAUUUUUAGCAUCUGUGCUUUGGGUAAUGAGUCACCAUUUUCAGUUGGCUCAUCUUUUCGGGACCAAUCAAGUGACUUUAUUUUUGAAAUGGCUAAGGAAAUGGGAAGUCAGAAUUUGUCUCAUUUUUGUGCCCCAGUUGUAUGUAAUCCAUCAAAUGUCACAUCUUAGUGAAAGCAAAUAGUUUGUCACCCUCAUUUCUUAAGAAAACGUAGUCAACAUGCAAGCUUCUAGGCUUGUAACGUAUGGGCAGAAGUGAUAGCUAAACAUGUGGAAAAGGGUUAUACCCUUAUGAUCACAAAUGAUUUGAUGAAUUUCUUAUGAGCAUGAUCCUCCCUUUGGAUUGUCAUGAAGGGAUAAGUCAACGAUGGACUUUGUUAGCUUGUAAUGUGGCUUGAAAACGAUAGCUAAAGAAUAAAACUUUCAAGGACAUAGCUCCGAAGAUCGCAUUUUUCCAAAAUUGCCCCUAUUUUGAACUCGAAAAUUCUGAACUUUGUUUGGAUUUUCUCAUCAUUCCCCAGGGACUUCAGCGUCGAAUUUUCGGCAUUUUCUUUUCUUGCUUUUCUUUCGCUUCUUUUCUUUUCCCUCGAGCUGAUGGGUUUUCACAUGGUGAGUAGAGUCAGCCCCAUACUCAAGCAAUUCAGAAAUACAGCUAAAAUUUUCCGGCAUCAGAAAUUUUCUUGACAGGGCCAUUGCAAAGAACAGAAGUCAGGACUUUUCAGCUUUUGUAAUGGGGUCUGGUGGGGCUUAGAAAAGUUAAGGCUUGAAAGCGGAUUUCAAAAGUGGUUUGAAUAAUCUGAGAUCGCAUUGCUGCGCCAACCCUAUUUUAGGGCUAAAUCAGAAUUUGCCCCAGUUUAUGCUCAAUUGAGGCUUUUUCUCUUUCAUUUUCUUUCUUCUUUUGACUUUUCGGCUUUCUGCCAUUUUUUUGAAAUUUGACAAAAUUUGCCCCAGUUUAUUUUUGAACUGAGGUUCUCUUUUCUUCUUUUGUCCUUUGAUUUUGUGAUUUUUCACCUUUUCACUUCUUGAAAUUUCUUUUUCAACUCAAACUUGCCCCAGUGUGGGGUUUGCGAUUCUCAGGGGUUGCCAAAUGAAGUAUUUUAUUCUGAAGGCUCAAAAGGGAUAACUAGGGAUAGAAUGCUUGAUCGGAAAAAGAAGAUGGUCUGACUUGUAUUCCGUUCCUUACAAUAACUCUGAAAGGAAACUUUCAUUAAUGCGAAAUUUUUGGCAUGUAUCUGAAUUAAUUGACUGAGGAAGACCCUUGGUCAUCCAUAUCUGUGAAACAUAGAGGAUCCGCCAGACAACUUUUCUUUUCUUUUCUUUUCACUCUUCUUUUUCUUACAAUUGAAGCUCAGGUAGAAUCAAAUUUCCCCAAUUUGCGGUUCCCCCUUUUUAGUUUUACCAUUUUUUGCUUUUCUUUUUCUUUUUGGAAAAAUCUCCAAUCUCCCUCCCCAAUGUGGGGUGCGAUCAUAGGUGCUUUGAAAAGAACCAUCAAUUUAGCUCAAAUGAGAAUGCAAGGGGUAAAUUGUGUUUAGAUUGUAGAAACGACGGCCAAAGCAUCAUUCUUACGCUCCAUGACAAUUAAGGUGACGAAACGCUCAUUGAGAAUCCAUUCCUUUUGAUAUGUGAAAAUUUUCCAAUGUAGGGUAGUGAGCUUUAAGACUCUUAUUUGAAACGAAAUUAUUCUUUUAAAGGCUCAAAUGGAUGAUAAAAACUGUAUGGAUAGAGAGACGAAUACUUAAAGUAUCAUUCCAAAUUUUCAAAACAAACAAGAAUAAUGCACAUUUUUGCUUUCAUUGAGAUGUGAAUUGAAUCUAAUUAGACGCUAUGGACAUUUUUCCAAGCAAAGAUUGCCCCAAUUUGCAAUUUAUCAAUCAAUGUGACUGAUUUUAUUUUGGGGUCAAUAGGAGUGGGCAAAAUAUGAAUUGUACAGUAAAGGAAAAAAAGGUAUCUCAUUGGGUCUUUUGAGUGACUUCUUUUAACUUUGAGCACUCUUAUUGGAUAGCUCGGAUCACCAAUCUAGUGUACGCAAGAAUUUUAGAAAGCAUACACUUGUGAAUUUUCAGACUGGAGGUUGAGGAAAUCUCAAUUUAGUCUUAUUUCUUAAAAUUCAUCAUGAAAUUUCCAAUGAGCAAAAAGAAUGAAAUGUACAUGGAUAUACAAAACAAUAAUUGUCCAAAAAUUUUAUUGCUGAAAGAGUUUGAAACAAAAUGCUCAUUCAAUUAUAAUACAAAUGAGAAAGAAAAUUCUAAGAACUCCCCAUAUACACCUUUCUGCCUCUUUUGGGAACAAGAAUGUAUUAACAAAUCCAAUAUACAGAGUCUUCUUUAAAAAACAAUUAUGAAAUCUCUUAGAAGCUCUUAGUCUAGAACUUUCAGAUGGAUCUUUCACGUUUCCAUUGUAGGAUCUGUCCAAGAAUCAAAUAAUACUUGUAAUUUUCACACUUUAUUAGAUCAGAAAUGUUAUCAAAUGUAGAAAAAUAUUUUUGCCUUAUUGCAACAUUUUUUUAUGAAUGCAGGGGAGGGGGAAAACAAAAGAAAAAUACCCAGAGUUAGUAAACAAGAAUAUAAAAUCGGUAUGCAUGUCCCAUGGGGGGAACCCUUUUCGUGCCAAAGGUAGGCCUAGCAUGAAAAUGCAAUCCUCUAGGGUAGGCACCAUACAAUACCUGAUGAACCGAUCAGUUGAUUGGGUGAAAAAAAUGAUUUGAAAAAUUUGGCCUCCAAUUGGAGUGAAAAGACACAUUUGUCCUAAAAAUUAGGACAAAGUCCGAAUGGAUUGCUUGCCUUGAUUGACACAAAAAAAUGACGUGUAAAAGAGAUUGCAAUGUUUAGACUAGGUCAUUUAGUGAACCUUAGACCGAAACCCUAAAAGAGGGAAAUCUGGUCAAAUGCAUAGGAUGAAAUUGAUGGUUUAUUCAAAAAUUGACUAGAUUACCUUAAGAAGGGUAAAAUGGUCAAAUGCAUUGAAUGAAAUUUGAUUAUUUAUUCAAAAUCGAAUGGAUAACCCUAAAAAAUGAAUUAAAUGAAUCAAAUGAACUAAAUGAAGUCAAUUGAUCAAACGCAUUGAGUGAAAUGAUGAUUUAUUCAAAAUCGACC
rnacentral:lncRNA from 1 species